rnacentral:rRNA from 1 species
UACGGGGGGGGCAAGCGUUGUUCGGAAUUACUGGGCGUAAAGGGCUCGUAGGCGGCCAACUAAGUCAGACGUGAAAUCCCUCGGCUUAACCGGGGAACUGCGUCUGAUACUGGAUGGCUCGAGUUUGGGAGAGGGAUGCGGAAUUCCAGGUGUAGCGGUGAAAUGCGUAGAUAUCGGGAGGAACACCAGUGGCGAAGGCGACUACCUGGCCUGUUCUUGACGCUGAGGCGCGAAAGCUAGGGGAGCAAACGGG